CCUACGGGUGGCAGCAGUGGGGGAUAUUGCACAAUGGGGGGAACCCUGAUGCAGCGACGCCGCGUGGGUGAAGAAGCGCCUCGGCGCGUAAAGCCCUGUCAGCAGUGAAGAAAAUGACGGUACCUGAAGAAGAAGCCCCGGCUAACUUCGGACCAGCAGCCGCCGGAAUACGUAGGGGGCAAGCGUUAGCCGGAAUUACUGGGUGGAAAGGGGGCGCAGGCGGGGAUGCAAGCCAGAAGUGAAAGCCCGGGGGCCAACCCCGGGACUGCGCUUGGAACUGCGUGGCUGGAGUGCAGGAGAGGGAGGCGGAAGUCCUGGUGUAGCGGUGAAAUGCGUAGAUAUCAGGAGGAACACCGGUGGCGAAGGCGGCCUGCUGGACUGCAACUGACGUUGAGGCCCGAAAGCGUGGGGAGCAAACAGGAUUAGAUACCCGAGUAGUC
rnacentral:rRNA from 1 species